UGUUGAAUUUCAACACUAAUUUUGUGUAGACCGUAUUUAAUACAGAAAUUGUGUUGAUUUUACCCAAUAUUUUUUACUGUGCAAAUAAAAAAAAAAUUUU